GAUGAAGAACGUAGCGAAAUGCGAUAAGUAAUGUGAAUUGCAGAAUUCAGUGAAUCAUCGAAUCUUUGAACACACAUUGCGCCCGCCAGUAUUCUGGCGGGCAUGCCUGUUCGAGCGUCAUUUCAACCAUCAAGCCCCAGGCUUGUGUUGGGGACCUGCGGCUGCCGCAGGCCCUGAAAACCAGUGGCGGGCUCGCUGUCACACCGGGCGUAGUAGAUUUUAUCUCGCUCAGGGCGUGCUGCGGGUUCCGGCCGUUAAAAAGCCUUUUUUACCCAAGGUUGACCUCGGAUCAGGUAGGAAGACCCGCUGAACUUAAGCAUAUCAAUAAGCGGAGGA
rnacentral:misc_RNA from 1 species